rnacentral:tRNA from 1 species
AAAGAUUUAGUUAAAUUUAACAUUAGUAUGUCAAACUAAAAUUAUUAGUAUUAAACUAAUAUUCUUUG